rnacentral:miRNA from 1 species
GUGUGUGUGUGUGUGUGUGUGUAUGUGUGUGUGUGUGUAUAUAUAUAUAUACAUAUAUAUAUAUAUAUAUACACACACAUAUACACACAUACACACAC